UACGUAGGGUGCAAGCGUUGUCCGGAAUUAUUGGGCGUAAAGAGCUUGUAGGCGGUUUGUCGCGUCUGCUGUGAAAUUUCGGGGCUCAACCCCGAACUUGCAGUGGGUACGGGCAGACUAGAGUGUGGUAGGGGAGACUGGAAUUCCAGGUGUAGCGGUGAAAUGCGUAGAUAUCUGGAGGAACACCGGUGGCGAAGGCGGCGUUCUGGACUGCAACUGACACUGAUGAACGAAAGCCAGGGGAGCAAACGGG
rnacentral:rRNA from 1 species